rnacentral:rRNA from 1 species
AGUGAACGCUGGCGGUAGGCCUAGCACAUGCCAGUCGAACGGCAGCACAGUAAGAGCUUGCUCUUACGGGUGGCGAGUGGCGGACGGGUGAGGAAUACAUCGGAAUCUACUUUUUCGUGGGGGAUAACGUAGGGAAACUUACGCUAAUACCGCAUACGACCUACGGGUGAAAGCAGGGGAUCUUCGGACCUUGCGCGAUUGAAUGAGCCGAUGUCGGAUUAGCUAGUUGGCGGGGUAAAGGCCCACCAAGGCGACGAUCCGUAGCUGGUCUGAGAGGAUGAUCAGCCACAAUGGACCUGAGAAACGGUCCAGACUCCUACGGGAGGCACCAGUGGGGAAUAUUGGACAAUGGGCGCAAGCCUGAUCCAACCAUACCGCGUGGGUGAAGAAGGCCUCCGGGUUGUAAUACCCUUUUGUUGGGAAAGAAAAGCAGCAGGUUAAUACCCCGCUGUUCUGACGGUACCCAAAGAAUAAGCACCGGCUAACUUCGUGC